GUUACUCAGUUCAGAUUGCAGGCUGNAACCCGCCUGCAUGAAGUCGGAAUUGCUAGUAAUCGCGGAUCAGCAUGCCGCGGUGAAUACGUUCCCGGGCCUUGUACACACCGCCCGUCACACCAUGGGAGCCGGUAAUACCCGAAGUCAGUAGUCCAACCACGUGAGGACGCUGCCGAAGGUAGGAUUGGCGGACUGGGGUGAAGUCGUAACAAGGUACC
rnacentral:rRNA from 1 species